rnacentral:sRNA from 1 species
GUUCAAGGUGGAAGUCUCUUUGUGUUUCGUUCAAGGUGGAAGUCUCUUUGUGUUUCGUUCAAGGUGGAAGUCUCUUUGUGUUUCGUUCAAGGUGGAAGUCUUUGUGUUUCGUUGCGUUUGUUUUCCUACCGUGACUAAAAAAGGAAAACAUUCGUGAAAACUUUAAAGAUGUUCAUACAUGGUGGGAAAACUAUAAAUAGCAAGCGUUUUAACUUAUUUUUAGAGUUGCAGAAUAACAUUUUUUUAAACAAACAAACCGGAGAGUAAACAUACUCCCCCUGCAAAGAGCAAUCUACAAUCUUCCAACUAAAAACAGGACACAUACCUCUGUUAAUUUACCAUCUUAACAAAAUAAAUUCCACACAACUCCGUCUUUGUAGACAUUGCGCC